AUUGAACGCUGGCGGCAUGCCUUACACAUGCAAGUCGAACGGCAGCACGGGAGCUUGCUCCUGGUGGCGAGUGGCGAACGGGUGAGUAAUACAUCGGAACGUACCCUGAAGUGGGGAGUAACGUAGCGAAAGUUACGCUAAUACCGCAUAUUCUGUGAGCAGGAAAGAGGGGGAGUCGCAAGACCUCUUGCUUUAGGAGCGGCCGAUGUCGGAUUAGCUAGUUGGUGAGGUAAAGGCUCACCAAGGCGACGAUCCGUAGCGGGUCUGAGAGGAUGAUCCGCCACACUGGGACUGAGACACGGCCCAGACUCCUACGGGAGGCAGCAGUGGGGGAAUUUUGGACAAUGGGCGCAAGCCUGAUCCAGCCAUGCCGCGUGAGUGAAGAAGGCCUUCGGGUUGUAAAGCUCUUUCGGUGGGGAAGAAAUUGCUUCGGUUAAGUACCUGGAGUAGAUGACGGUACCCGCAUAAGAAGCACCGGCUAACUACGUGCCAGCAGCCGCGGUAAU
rnacentral:rRNA from 1 species